UACGGGGGGGGCAAGCGUUGUUCGGAAUUACUGGGCGUAAAGGGCUCGUAGGUGGCCAACUAAGUCAGACGUGAAAUCCCCAGGCUCAACUUGGGAACUGCGUCUGAUACUGGAUGGCUUGAAUUCGGGAGAGGGAUGCAGAAUUCCAGGUGUAGCGGUGAAAUGCGUAGAUAUCUGGAGGAAUACCGGUGGCGAAGGCGGCAUCCCGGACCGAUAUUGACACUGAUGAGCGAAAGCUGGGGGAGCAAACGGG
rnacentral:rRNA from 1 species